GUCGGUCCUCGGUAGUGGCCCCCGGGCACGCCCCUCCGCGCGAGGGGAACGACUCCCGUGGGCUUCGAUCGAAGACCGGU
rfam:Geodermatophilus obscurus DSM 43160, complete genome.